rnacentral:rRNA from 1 species
CUCAUGGCCCUUAUGUCUGGGGCUACACACGUGCUACAAUGGUCGGUACAAAGCGCAGCGAAGUCGCGAGGCGGAGCAAAUCGCAAAAAGCCGGCCUCAGUACGGAUUGCAGUCUGCAACUCGACUGCAUGAAGUCGGAAUCGCUAGUAAUCGCUGAUCAGCAGGCAGCGGUGAAUACGUUCCCGGGCCUUGUACACACCGCCCGUCACACCAUGGGAGUCGAGUGCUCCAGAAGUGGCUGUGCCAACCCUCACGGGAGGCAGGUCCCCAAGGAGUGCUCGGUAACUGGGGUGAAGUCGUAACAAGGUAGCCGUAGGGGAACCUGCGGCUGGAUCACCUCCUUU